rnacentral:tRNA from 1 species
GCUGGUUUAGCUCAGCAGGUAGAGCGCCUGCCUUGUCAGCUGCGCGUCAGAGGUUCGAUUCCUUUACCCGGCACCA